CAAAUCUGAUAAUGUCCCCAAUCCCAAAACACUGCGUUGAGAUGCGGGCUAAAAUGCAAAAGCACUCGAAUUUUGGGAAAAUUUUAAAAGAAAACAAAACAAAUCAGACGCAAAUGGGAGCGGAUCAUAAUGCGGCGCAAAGGGGAAGGACCUGUUGCACAAAUAACCCAUUUUGAGCGCAAUAGCGCGGAUCCGGGUCCUUGAACGGGUUGACGUGCGGGUUACUUCCCCUGAAACGGCGUCAUUUCAUUGUAUGCCCAAAAUUAAAAGAAAAUUGAAUGGCAAUUAGCCAUUUGUUACAAGCCUAAUACCCAAUUAUUAAGGUUUCGACGCAGCAGCUUUCCUCUGUUAAGGCCAUUUAAUCACCAGUUCACCAUUAAAAUUGGUGAGUGAUGUAGAAGGAUCCUUUAUUUCCAUCAAAGUCGACACUCAAAGACUGUUUUCAUUGGAGAAUCCGCAUCUUUAACCCCGAUUUCGACGGAGAAGACAAGGGAUCUCAUCAAUGCAUCCACGAAGGUGUGGAGAAACGGCCGUACGGAGAAAGCCGCUCGUGAAAGCCUUGCGUGGGAAAACCCCUGUGAAAGCUUGAUUGCAGUACUAGCGUGUUCUAGAAACUUUUAGAUUUCUGGUAUUUUCAAACUAUUGGGCCUUUUGGGCCGUUUGUGAAUUGGGCUAAGGGACUUUGGGAUUUUGGGUGUAGGUUUAUUAGGUUUAAUAUUUGGGCCUUUAUUUUUGGAUUAAAUAAGUUGAAAUAAUCUUUUUGGACCA